UACGGAGGGUGCGAGCGUUGUCCGGAAUCACUGGGCGUAAAGGGCGCGUAGGCGGCGGCUACAGUUGGAUGUGAAAUUCCUGGGCUUAACCUGGGGGCUGCAUUCGAUACGUGGUUGCUGGAGUGGGGAAGAGGGUCGUGGAAUUCCCAGUGUAGAGGUGAAAUUCCGUAGAUAUUGGGAAGAACACCGGUGGCGAAGGCGGCGACCUGGUCCUUGACUGACGCUGAGGCGCGAAAGCGUGGGGAGCAAACAGG
rnacentral:rRNA from 1 species